rnacentral:rRNA from 1 species
UGCGAAGGGGGCUAGCGUUGCUCGGAAUCACUGGGCGUAAAGGGUGCGUAGGCGGGUUUUUAAGUCAGAGGUGAAAUCCUGGAGCUCAACUCCAGAACUGCCUUUGAUACUGAAAGUCUUGAGUACGGGAGAGGUGAGUGGAACUGCGAGUGUGGAGGUGAAAUUCGUAGAUAUUCGCAAGAACACCAGUGGCGAAGGCGGCUCACUGGCCCGUAACUGACGCUGAGGCACGAAAGCGUGGGGAGCAAACAGG